rnacentral:rRNA from 1 species
AGGUCCCAAGGGUAUGGCUGUUCGCCAUUUAAAGUGGUACGCGAGCUGGGUUUAGAACGUCGUGAGACAGUUCGGUCCCUAUCUGCCGUGGGCGCUGGAGAACUGAGGGGGGCUGCUCCUAGUACGAGAGGACCGGAGUGGACGCAUCACUGGUGUUCGGGUUGUCAUGCCAAUGGCACUGCCCGGUAGCUAAAUGCGGAAGAGAUAAGUGCUGAAAGCAUCUAAGCACGAAACUUGCCCCGAGAUGAGUUCUCCCUGACCCUUUAAGGGUCCUGAAGGAACGUUGAAGACGACGACGUUGAUAGGCCGGGUGUGUAAGCGCAGCGAUGCGUUGAGCUAACCGGUACUAAUGAACCGUGAGGCUUAACCUU